rnacentral:rRNA from 1 species
ACGUUAGCGGCGGACGGGUGAGUAACACGUGGGUAACCUACCUAUAAGACUGGGAUAACUUCGGGAAACCGGAGCUAAUACCGGAUAAUAUUUCGAACCGCAUGGUUCGAUAGUGAAAGAUGGUUUUGCUAUUACUUAUAGAUGGACCUGCGCCGUAUUGGCUAGUUGGUAAGGUAACGGCUUACCAAGGCGACGAUACGUAGCCGACCUGAGAGGGUGAUCGGCCACACUGGAACUGAGACACGGUCCAGACUCCUACGGGAGGCAGCAGGA